rnacentral:rRNA from 1 species
CAAGAGCGUAUGUUAAAGUUGUUGCAGUUAAAAAGCUCGUAGUUGGAUUUCUGGUACAAUGCGCCUGGCCCGCGACCGUUAGGUCUGUGAGUGCCGGUGCGCGUUUGCCAUCCUUCUAGAAAACGUUUCUACCCUUCACUGGGCCGGACUCGCGAUCUAGAUCUUUUACUUUGAAAAAAUUAGAGUGUUUAAAGCAGGCUUUUGCUGUGAAUACAUUAGCAUGGAAUAAUAAUCUAGGACUUCGGUUCUAUUUUGUUGGUUUCUAGUACUGAAGUAAUGAUUGAUAGGGAUAGUUGGGGGUGCUAGUAUUGGCCGGCCAGAGGUGAAAUUCUUGGAUUCGGUCAAGACUAACUUAUGCGAAAGCAUUCACCAAGGAUGUCUUCUUUAA